AGUGGCGGACGGGUGAGUAACGCGUGAGAAUCUGGCUUCAGGUUCGGGACAACCACUGGAAACGGUGGCUAAUACCGGAUAUGCCUGUAUAGGUGAAAGAUUAAUUGCCUGAAGAUGAGCUCGCGUCUGAUUAGCUAGUUGGUGGGGUAAGAGCCUACCAAGGCGACGAUCAGUAACUGGUCUGAGAGGAUGACCAGUCACACUGGGACUGAGACACGGCCCAGACUCCUACGGGAGGCAGCAGUGGGGAAUUUUCCGCAAUGGGCGAAAGCCUGACGGAGCAAUACCGCGUGAGGGAGGAAGGCUCUUGGGUUGUAAACCUCUUUUCUCAGGGAAGAAUACAAUGACGGUACCUGAGGAAUAAGCAUCGGCUAACUCCGUGCCAGCAGCCGCGGUAAUACGGAGGAUGCAAGCGUUAUCCGGAAUUAUUGGGCGUAAAGCGUCCGCAGGUGGCAGUUCAAGUCUGCUGUCAAAGGUCAGGGCUCAACCCUGAACAGGCAGUGGAAACUGAACAGCUAGAGUGCGGUAGGGGCAGAGGGAAUUCCCAGUGUAGCGGUGAAAUGCGUAGAGAUUGGGAAGAACACCGGUGGCGAAAGCGCUCUGCUAGGCCUGCACUGACACUCAGGGACGAAAGCUAGGGGAGCGAAUGGGAUUAGAUACCCCAGUAGUCCUAGCCGUAAACGAUGGAUACUAGGCGUAGCUUGUAUCGACCCAAGCUGUGCCGUAGCUAACGCGCUAAGUAUCCCGCCUGGGGAGUACGCGCGCAAGCGUGAAACUCAAAGGAAUUGACGGGGGCCCGCACAAGCGGUGGAGUAUGUGGUUUAAUUCGAUGCAACGCGAAGAACCUUACCAGGACUUGACAUGUCGCGAA
rnacentral:rRNA from 1 species